UCUCCGUUGGUGAACCAGCGGAGGGAUCAUUACCGAGUUUACAACUCCCAAACCCCUAUGUGAACGUUACCAAACUGUUGCCUCGGCGGGAAAUUCAUGCCCCGGGCGCGUCGCAGCCCCGGACCAAGGCGCCCGCCGGAGGACCAACCAAAACUCUUUUGUAUGUCUCUCGCGGACUUUUAUAAUUCUGAACCAUCUCGGCGCCCCUAGCGGGCGUUUCGAAAAUGAAUCAAAACUUUCAACAACGGAUCUCUUGGUUCUG
rnacentral:misc_RNA from 1 species